GACGAACGCUGGCGGCGUGCCUAAUACAUGCAAGUCGAGCGAAGUUUUUCUGGUGCUUGCACCGGAAAAACUUAGCGGCGAACGGGUGAGUAACACGUAAAGAACCUGCCUCAUAGACUGGGACAACUAUUGGAAACGAUAGCUAAUACCGGAUAACAGCAUUAACUGCAUGGUUGAUGUUUGAAAGUUGGUUUUGCUAACACUAUGAGAUGGCUUUGCGGUGCAUUAGCUAGUUGGUGGGGUAAAGGCCUACCAAGGCGACGAUGCAUAGCCGACCUGAGAGGGUGAUCGGCCACACUGGGACUGAGACACGGCCCAGACUCCUACGGGAGGCAGCAGUAGGGAAUCUUCCGCAAUGGGCGAAAGCCUGACGGAGCAACGCCGCGUGAGUGAAGAAGGAUUUCGGUUCGUAAAGCUCUGUUGUUAGGGAAGAAUGAUUAUGUAGUAACUAUAUAUAGUAGAGACGGUACCUAACCAGAAAGCCACGGCUAACUACGUG
rnacentral:rRNA from 1 species